UGCCUUUGCCCUUUUGCGUUUCUCUGAAG
rnacentral:piRNA from 1 species